GAUGAACGCUGGCGGCGUGCCUAAUACAUGCAAGUCGAGCGAACAGACGAGGAGCUUGUUCCUCUGACGUUAGCGGAGGACGGGUGAGUAACACGUGGAUAACCUACCUAUAAGACUGGGAUAACUUCGGGACACCGGCUCUAAUCGCGGAUAAUAUCCUGAACCGCAGGGGUCAUUAGUGAAUGACGGUUUUGCUGUCACUUAUAGAUGGAUCCGGGCCGCAUUGGCUGGUUGGUGCGGUAACGGGCUAUCAAGGCAAGGAGGCGUGAACGACCGGGGGGGGGGAUAGCCGGCCUGGGAGCUGAGACACGGUCAAGAGUCCUACGGGAGGCACCAGAAGGGAAUCUGAGGCAAUGGGCGAAAGCCUGACGGAGCAACGGCGCGUGAGUGAUGGAGGUCUUCGGAGCGUAAAACUCUGUUAUUAGGGAAGAACAAAUGUGUAAGUAACUAUGCACGUAUUGACGGUACCUAAUCAGAAAGCCACGGCUAACUACGUG
rnacentral:rRNA from 1 species